CCAGACUCCUACGGGAGGCAGCAGUGGGGGAUAUUGCACAAUGGGGGGAACCCUGAUGCAGCGACGCCGCGUGGGUGAAGGAGUAUUUCGGUAUGUAAAGCCCUAUCGGCAGGGAAGAAGGAAGACGGUACCCGACUAAGAAGCCCCGGCUAACUACGUGCCAGCAGCCGCGGUAAUACGUAGGGGGCGAGCGUUAUCCGGAUUUACUGGGUGUAAAGGGAGCGUAGACGGCGUCGCAAGUCUGAAGUGAAAGCCCGUGGCUCAACCGCGGAACCGCUUUGGAAACUGCGAGGCUGGAGUGCUGGAGAGGUAAGCGGAAUUCCUGGUGUAGCGGUGAAAUGCGUAGAUAUCAGGAGGAACACCGGUGGCGAAGGCGGCUUACUGGACAGUGACUGACGUUGAGGCUCGAACGCGUGGGGAGCGAACAGGAUUAGAUACCCGGGUAA
rnacentral:rRNA from 1 species